GAGAUAACUGUAUUGUAUUUUAAGCUUGGCCUUCUGUAAAACUUGAUUUUACUGUCGCAAAUAUCUAUCUCCGCCUAAAAACACGCGAAGGCCAAGCUUAAAAUACAAUACAGUUAUCUCCUAAUUAGUUG
rnacentral:sRNA from 1 species